rnacentral:rRNA from 1 species
AUUGAACGCUGGCGGCAGGCCUAACACAUGCAAGUCGAACGCGUGGCGGACGGGUGAGUAAUGUCUGAGAAACUGACUGAUGGAGGGGGAUAACUACUGGAAACGGUCGCUAAUACCGCAUAAAAUCAGAUGUGCCCAGAUGGGAUUAGCUUGUUGGUGGGGUAACGGCUCACCAAGGCGACGAUCCCUAGCUGGUCGGAGAGGAGGACCAGCCACACUGGAACUGAGACACGGUCCAGACUCCUACGUGAGGCAGCAGUGGGGAAUAUUGGACAAUGGGCGCAAGCCUGAUGCAGCCAUGCCGCGUGUAUGAAGAAGGCCUUCGGGUUGUAAAGUACUUUCAGCGGGGAGGCGUUACCCGCAGAAGAAGCACCGGCUAACUCCGGGCCAGCAGCCGCGGUAAUUC